rnacentral:rRNA from 1 species
GCAUGCCUGUUCGAGCGUCAUUUCACCACUUAAGCCCUGUUGCUUAGCGUUGGGAGCCUACGGCAUAGCCCGUAGCUCCUUAAAGUGAUUGGCGGAGUUGGUUCUCACUCUAAGCGUAGUAACUAUAUCUCGCUUCUGUAGUAGUUCCGGCCCCUGCCGUAAAACCCUUAUACAAAGGUUGACCUCGGAUCAGGUAGGAAUACCCGCUGAACUUAAGCAUAUCAAUAAGCGGAGGAAAAGAAACCAACAGGGAUUGCCCUAGUAACGGCGAGUGAAGCGGCAACAGCUCAAAUUUGAAAUCUGGCUCUAGGGCCCGAGUUGUAAUUUGCAGAGGAUGAUUUUGGCGCGGUGCCUUCCGAGUUCCCUGGAACGGGACGCCUUAGAGGGUGAGAGCCCCGUACGGUUGGACACCAAGCCUCUGUAAAUCUCCUUCGACGAGUCGAGUAGUUUGGGAAUGCUGCUCUAAAUGGGAGGUAAAUUUCUUCUAAAGCUAAAUACCGGCCAGAGACCGAUAGCGCACAAGUAGAGUGAUCGAAAGAUGAAAAGCACUUUGAAAAGAGGGUUAAAUAGCACGUGAAAUUGUUGAAAGGGAAGCAUUUACUACCAGACCUUCUCCCUGCGGAUCAUGCGGUGUUCUCACCGCUGCACUUCGCUUGGUUUAGGCCAGCAUCGGUUUUCGUAGAGGGAUAAAAGCUUUAGGAACGUAGCUCCCUCGGGAGUGUUAUAGCCUUUUGCAUAAUACCUUUACGGGGACCGAGGACCGCGCUUGC